UGGGGAAUAUUGCACAAUGGGCGAAAGCCUGAUGCAGCAACGCCGCGUGAGCGAUGAAGGCCUUUGGGUCGUAAAGCUCUGUCCUUGGGGAAGAAAAAAAUGACGGUACCCUUGGAGGAAGCUGCGGCUAACUACGUGCCAGCAGCCGCGGUAAUACGUAGGCAGCAAGCGUUGUUCGGAGUUACUGGGCGUAAAGAGUGCGUAGGCGGUUUUCUAAGUUCGGUGUGAAAUCUCCCGGCUUAACUGGGGGGGUGCGCCGAAGACUGGGAAGCUGGAGUGUGGGAAAGGCAGGCGGAAUUCCUGGUGUAGCGGUGAAAUGCGUAGAUAUCAGGAGGAACACCGGCGGUGUAGACGGCUUGCUAGACCAUAACUGACGCUGAGGCACGAAAGCGUGGGUAGCAAACA
rnacentral:rRNA from 1 species